UGCCCAAAGCGGGAUUCGAACCCGGGUCGUUGCGGUCUAAAACCAAUGGUUUAGACCACUCGCCCAUCGAC